rnacentral:rRNA from 1 species
GACGUAGGGCGCGAGCGUUGCCCGGAUUUAUUGGGCGUAAAGAGCUCGUAGGCGGCUUGUCGCGUCGUCCGUGAAAACCCACAGCUCAACUGUGGGCUUGCGGUCGAUACGGGCAGGCUAGAGUUCGGUAGGGGAGACUGGAAUUCCUGGUGUAGCGGUGAAAUGCGCAGAUAUCAGGAGGAACACCGGUGGCGAAGGCGACGUCCUGGACCGGCAUUGACGCUGAGGCGCGAAAGCCAGGGGAGCAAACGGG